rnacentral:rRNA from 1 species
GAUGAACGCUGGCGGCGUGCUUAACACAUGCAAGUCGAACGGAAAGGCUCCUGCUUGCAGGGGUACUCGAGUGGCGAACGGGUGAGUAACACGUGGGUGAUCUGCCCUGCACUUCGGGAUAAGCCUGGGAAACUGGGUCUAAUACCGGAUAGGACCACAUUUUGGAUGGUGUGGUGGAAAGUUUUUCGGUGUGGGAUGAGCUCGCGGCCUAUCAGCUUGUUGGUGGGGUAAUGGCCUACCAAGGCGUCGACGGGUAGCCGGCCUGAGAGGGUGUACGGCCACAUUGGGACUGAGAUACGGCCCAGACUCCUACGGGAGGCAGCAGUGGGGAAUAUUGCACAAUGGGCGCAAGCCUGAUGCAGCGACGCCGCGUGGGGGAUGACGGCCUUCGGGUUGUAAACUCCUUUCGCUAGGGACGAAGCGUUUUUGUGACGGUACCUGGAGAGGAAGCACCGGCUAACUACGUG